GCUGCGGCUCAGUAAGGGAGUCCACGCUUCGCUAGUCGAGGCACAUAAUAUUGAUAGGAAUUUGUUUAUCAACUGAAUAAAACAAACUUUAGUUUGGACGAAAUGAUUUCAGUGAGCAUACAGCAGUCCGGAGCCAAAAUUUGGUGGCUCUAGCUCUUAUAGUCUCUGAGAACUAGCCGACAAACAAGACGGACAGACGGACAGACAGACAGAGAGACAUGUCUCUAUCGACUCGGCUAUUGAUGCUGAUCAAGAAUAUAUAUACUUUAUGGGGUCGGAAACGCUUCCUUCUGUGCGUUACAUACAA
rnacentral:lncRNA from 1 species